GACGAACGCUGGCGGCGUGCUUAACACAUGCAAGUCGAGCGGUAAGGCCCUUUCGGGGUACGACGAGCGGCGAACGGGUGAGUAACACGUGGGUGACCUGCCCUCAGCUCUGGGAUAAGCCUGGGAAACCGGGUCUAAUACUGGAUAUGACUCCAUGACGCAUGUUGUGGGUGGAAAGCCUUGUGCGGCUGAGGAUGGGCCCGCGGCCUAUCAGCUUGUUGGUGGGUGAUGGCCUACCAAGGCGACGACGGGUAGCCGGCCUGAGAGGGCGACCAGCCACAC
rnacentral:rRNA from 1 species